AUUGAACGCUGGCGGUAGGCCUAACACAUGCAAGUCGAGCGGCUGCAGGGUGCUUGCUCCUGGAUUCAGCGGCGGACGGGCGAGUAAUGCCUAGGAAUCUGCCUGGUAGCGGGUGCUAACGUGCGGACACGGGCGCUCAUACCGCAUAAGUCCUGAGGGCGUAAGUGUGGGAUCUUCGGAUCUCACGCUAUCAGAUGAGCCUAGGUCGGAUUAGCUAGUUGGUGGGGUAACGGCCUACCAAGGCGACGAUCCGUAACUGGUCUGAGAGGCUGAUCAGUCACACUGUGACUGAGACACGGGCCAGACUCCUACGGGAGGCAGCAGUGGGGAAUAUUGGACAAUAGGCGAAAGCCUGAUCCAGCCAUGCCGCGUGUGGGAAAAAGGUCUUCGGAUUGUAAAGCACUUUAAGUUGGGAAGAAAAGCAGUAAGUUAAUACCUUGCUGUUUUGACGUUACCAACAGAAUAAACACCGGCUAACUUCGUG
rnacentral:rRNA from 1 species